rnacentral:rRNA from 1 species
CAGUCGCCGCGGUAAUACGAAGGGUGCAAGCGUUACUCGGAAUUACUGGGCGUAAAGCGUGCGUAGGUGGUGGUUUAAGUCUGUUGUGAAAGCCCUGGGCUCAACCUGGGAAUUGCAGUGGAUACUGGGUCACUAGAGUGUGGUAGAGGAUAGUGGAAUUUCCGGUGUAGCAGUGAAAUGCGUAGAGAUCGGAAGGAACAUCUGUGGCGAAGGCGACUAUCUGGGCCAACACUGACACUGAGGCACGAAAGCGUGGGGAGCAAACAGGAUUAGAUACCCCCGUAGUCCCUGUCUCUUAUAC